rnacentral:rRNA from 1 species
GUGGGAAUCUACCCUGCCCUGCGGAAUAGCUUCGGGAAACUGGAAUUAAUACCGCAUACGCCCUACGGGGGAAAGAUUUAUCGGGGUAUGAUGAGCCCGCCUUGGAUUAGCUAGUUGGUGGGGUAAAGGCCUACCUUUCGACGAUCCAUAACUGGUCUGAGACCAUGAUCAGCCACAUUGGGACUGAGACACGGCCCACACUCCUACGGGAGGCAGCAGUGGGGAAUAUUGCACAAUGGGCGCAAGCCUGAUCCAGCCAUGCCGCGUGAGUGAUGAAGGCCUUAGGGUUGUAAAGCUCUUUCACCGGAGAAGAUAAUGACGGUAUCCGGAGAAGAAGCCCCGGCUAACUUCGUGCCUGCAACCGCGGUAAUACGAAGGGCGCUAGCGUUGUUCGGAAUUACUGGGCGUAAAGCGCACGUAGGCGGAUAUUUAAGUCACGGGUGAAAUCCCAAAGCUCAACUCUCGAACUGCCUUUGAUACUGGGUAUCU